UCCGGCUUAUCACCGGCAGUUUUCUCAGAGUUCUCAGCAUUACCUGUUAGCAACAGAGAAUGAGGGUUGCGCUCGUUGCGGGACUUAACCCAACAUCUCACGACACGAGCUGACGACAGCCAUGCAGCACCUGUGCACCUCCCACCCGAAGUGAAGGGCUCCUUUUCGGGAGCCCAUAGAGGGCAUGUCAAAUCCUGGUAAGGUUCUUCGCGUUGCCUCGAAUUAAACCACAUGUUCCACCGCUUGUGCGGGUCCCCGUCAAUUUCUUUGAGUUUUAAUCUUGCGACCGUACUCCCCAGGCGGGGUGCUUAACGCGUUAGCUACGCCACCGAGAUCGAAGAUCCCGACAGCUAGCACCCAUCGUUUACGGCGUGGACUAC
rnacentral:misc_RNA from 1 species